rnacentral:rRNA from 1 species
ACGAAGGUUGGUCGUGGAAUAAGGGGGGGGCUAUCAUGCAAGUCGAGCGGAAGAUGGGAGCUUGCUCCCUGAUGUUAGCGGCGGACGGGUGAGUAACACGUGGGUAACCUGCCUGUAAGACUGGGAUAACUCCGGGAAACCGGGGCUAAUACCGGAUGGUUGUUUGAACCGCAUGGUUCAAACAUAAAAGGUGGCUUCGGCUACCACUUACAGAUGGACCCGCGGCGCAUUAGCUAGUUGGUGAGGUAACGGCUCACCAAGGCAACGAUGCGUAGCCAACCUGAGAGGGUGAUCGGCCACACUGGGACUGAAACACGGCCCAAACUCCUACGGGAGGCAGCAGUAGGGAAUCUUCCGCAAUGGACAAAAGUCUGACGGAGCACCGCCGCGUGAGUGAUGAAGGUUUUCGGAUCGUAAAGCUCUGUUGUUAGGGAAAAACAAGUACCGUUCGAAUAGGGCGGUACCUUGACGGUACCUAACCAAAAAGCCACGGCUAACUACGUGCCAGCAGCCGCGGUAAUACGUAGGUGGCAAGCGUUGUCCGGAAUUAUUGGGCGUAAAGGGCUCGCAGGCGGUUUCUUAAGUCUGAUGUGAAAGCCCCCGGCUCAACCGGGGAGGGUCAUUGAAAACUGGGGAACUUGAGUGCAGAAGAGGAGAGUGGAAUUCCACGUGUAGCGGUGAAAUGCGUAGAAGAUGUGGAGGAACACCAGUGCGAAGGCGACUCUCUGGUCUGUAACUGACGCUGAGGAGCGAAAGCGUGGGGAGCGAACAGGAUUAGAUACCCUGGUAGUCCACGCCGUAAACGAUGAGGUGCUAAGUUGUUAAGGGGGGUUUCCGCCCCCUUUAAGUGCUGCCAGCUUAACGGC